rnacentral:rRNA from 1 species
GGGUUGUGAGGUUAAGCGAACAAGCGUACACGGUGGAUGCCCUGGCAGUCAGAGGCGAUGAAGGACGUGCUAAUCUGCGAAAAGCGCCGGCGAGGUGAUAUGAACCUUUGACCCGGCGAUGUCCGAAUGGGGAAACCCGGUGCACCACGGUGCAUCAUCGUUAACUGAAUACAUAGGUUAACGAGGCGAACCGGGGGAACUGAAACAUCUAAGUAC